UACAGAGGUCUCAAGCGUUGUUCGGAUUCAUUGGGCGUAAAGGGUGCGUAGGUGGCGUCGUAAGUCGGGUGUGAAAUUUCGGAGCUCAACUCCGAAACUGCAUUCGAUACUGCGGUGCUUGAGGACUGGAGAGGAGACUGGAAUUUACGGUGUAGCAGUGAAAUGCGUAGAGAUCGUAAGGAAGACCAGUGGCGAAGGCGGGUCUCUGGACAGUUACUGACGCUGAGGCACGAAGGCCAGGGGAGCAAACGGG
rnacentral:rRNA from 1 species